UCGGAAUAUUGGGCGUAAAGAGCUCGUAGGCGGUUUGUCGCGUCUGCUGUGAAAUCCCGAGGCUCAACCUCGGGCUUGCAGUGGGUACGGGCAGACUAGAGUGCGGUAGGGGAGAUUGGAAUUCCUGGUGUAGCGGUGGAAUGCGCAGAUAUCAGGAGGAACACCGAUGGCGAAGGCAGAUCUCUGGGCCGUAACUGACGCUGAGGAGCGAAAGCAUGGGGAGCGAACAGGAUUAGAUACCCUGGUAGUCCAUGCCGUAAACGUUGGGCGCUAGAUGUAGGGACCUUUCCACGGUUUCUGUGUCGUAGCUAACGCAUUAAGCGCCCCGCCUGGGGAGUACGGCCGCAAGGCUAAAACUCAAAGGAAUUGACGGGGGCCCGCACAAGCGGCGGAGCAUGCGGAUUAAUUCGAUGCAACGCGAAGAACCUUACCAAGGCUUGACAUACACCGGAAACGGCCAGAGAUGGUCGCCCCCUUGUGGUCGGUGUACAGGUGGUGCAUGGUUGUCGUCAGCUCGUGUCGUGAGAUGUUGGGUUAAGUCCCGCAACGAGCGCAACCCUCGUUCUAUGUUGCCAGCGGGUUAUGCCGGGGACUCAUAGGAGACUGCCGGGGUCAACUCGGAGGAAGGUGGGGAUGACGUCAAAUCAUCAUGCCCCUUAUGUCUUGGGCUUCACGCAUGCUACAAUGGCCGGUACAAAGGGCUGCGAUACCGUAAGGUGGAGCGAAUCCCAAAAAGCCGGUCUCAGUUCGGAUUGAGGUCUGCAACUCGACCUCAUGAAGUCGGAGUCGCUAGUAAUCGCAGAUCAGCAACGCUGCGGUGAAUACGUUCCCGGGCCUUGUACACACCGCCCGUCAAGUCAUGAAAGUCGGUAACACCCGAAGCCGGUGGCCUAACCCUUGUGGAAGGAGCCGUCGACGGUGGGAUCGGUGAUAGGACUAAGUCGUACCAGGGUACCCGUAA
rnacentral:rRNA from 1 species